GCCUGGGAAUAUGCCUUAGUGUGGGGGAUAACUAUUGGAAACGAUAGCUAAUACCGCAUAACGUCUUCGGACCAAAGAGGGGGACCUUCGGGCCUCUCGCGCUAAGAUUAGCCCAGGUGGGAUUAGCUAGUUGGUGAGGUAAAGGCUCACCAAGGCAACGAUCCCUAGCUGGUCUGAGAGGAUGAUCAGCCACACUGGAACUGAGACACGGUCCAGACUCCUACGGGAGGCAGCAGUGGGGAAUAUUGCACAAUGGGGGAAACCCUGAUGCAGCCAUGCCGCGUGUAUGAAGAAGGCCUUCGGGUUGUAAAGUACUUUCAGUCGUGAGGAAGGGUGUGUAGUUAAUAGCUGCAUGGCUUGACGUUAGCGACAGAAGAAGCACCGGCUAACUCCGUGCCAGCAGCCGCGGUAAUACGGAGGGUGCGAGCGUUAAUCGGAAUUAC
rnacentral:rRNA from 1 species